GGAGGGGAUCCACUCGUUCCCAUCCCGAACACGACCGUUAAGCCCUCCAGCGCCGAUGGUACUUGGGGUGCAGACCCCUGGGAGAGUAGGACGUUACCAGGC
rnacentral:rRNA from 1 species